rnacentral:rRNA from 1 species
AGUAGCCGCGGGAAUACAGAGGGUGCGAGCGUUAAUCGGAUUUACUGGGCGUAAAGCGUGCGUAGGCGGCUUCUUAAGUCGGAUGUGAAAUCCCUGAGCUUAACUUAGGAAUUGCAUUCGAUACUGGGAAGCUAGAGUAUGGGAGAGGAUGGUAGAAUUCCAGGUGUAGCGGUGAAAUGCGUAGAGAUCUGGAGGAAUACCGAUGGCGAAGGCAGCCAUCUGGCCUAAUACUGACGCUGAGGUACGAAAGCAUGGGGAGCAAACAGGAUUAGAUACCCGCGUAGUCCCUGUCUCUUAUACC